rnacentral:rRNA from 1 species
UACGUAGGGGACAAGCGUUGUCCGGAAUUAUUGGGCGUAAAGAGCUCGUAGGCGGUUUGUCGCGUCUGCUGUGAAAACUCGGGGCUUAACUCCGGGCCUGCAGUGGGUACGGGCAGACUAGAGUGCGGUAGGGGAGACUGGAAUUCCUGGUGUAGCGGUGAAAUGCGCAGAUAUCAGGAGGAACACCGGUGGCGAAGGCGGGUCUCUGGGCCGUAACUGACGCUGAGGAGCGAAAGCGUGGGGAGCGAACAGG